GGCACGGGGCGCCCCUGACUGUCUCUCGUUAAAGGAGGAGGCUGUGUAAGAAAGGAGGCAGGUGUUGGUGAGAAGCACGCGCAAGGCAUCCAUUUCAGGCCCCCAGAGCAGUCUGGCCUGGGGUUCAGUGUCACCAGGGAUAUUUCUUUGACUCUUUAGUGUAGGAGGGAGGCGCCGAGACAAAAGAAAGAUGAGAAAGCAAUGAGGGGAGCUUUUACUUGGGACCUAAUUCUGACCCACAAGGCAGAACUUGUUGGAAGGACUGGAAGGCCAAACCCUAAUUUGAGACUCCAGGAAUGAACCCCAGGCUUCUCAUCACUGACCUUCCAGAGAACUUGCCACCUCUACAGCAGUCAAGAACUUGAGGAGUCUGGAAGCCACUGCUACAAUGUUGAAUCAAGAAACACGCUCUUCAGCUGG